CGAAAGGACCAAAAUUAAGAAAUAAUUUUUUUUAAUUGAAUACCAUUAA
rnacentral:rRNA from 1 species